GCUAGUCCCUGGCAGGAAGGGGGUGUCCUGGAGUCAUUGUACUCUUACCUCCAGCCACUAGGACAGUUGUGUGCAGUCAGUGGGACUGGGGACCAGCCGGCCAGCUGCUAGCACUCCAGCCCCAGGAUGCUCCAGAUCACAGCCUGUCACCGGGACCCUGCACAGGAAUUACACCCCACGACCACCCUGCAUGGAUACUAUGGGCUCAGCAGUGUAUCUCCUAUGGAAACAGCAUUCACAAUAUUUGGGAAUAAAAAUGCACUUUUUUUUUUUUGGAUCUGUUCAUUUUCUGGCUACUUUAUGGGAUUUAUCUUUAAGAAUUCCUUUUGGUGGAUUAUGAUAUCACUGGGGCCCUUGUCACUAGAGUCAUCAUUGCAGCUGUCAUCAUGACAUGUCAUCAAGCCUCUCCUAGAGCAGAGUUAGAUGGAGCCUCUCUGACAGAUGGUUGCUAAGGACAUCAUUGGUGAGGUGGAGCUGGAUGGCAGAUGCACAUGGGGAAUGGCAGCACCAGGACCUGGUGAAAGUUUUUUGUAUUUUAAGGUUAAAGACACCAACUGGAGAAUGAAUCCUACAAUCUAGUACCCAAGUCAUCCUAAAACUGACUGGACUAUUUGGAGCUUUACGAGAACACUGAUAACAUUGGAUGAAAUAACGAAUACCUGCAGAUGAAAAUUGUACAAUUACCAAGCAUACAGGGCUAUGUAUUUUUCUAAUGUCAGAAAAUCUACUUCCUGGAAGUAAAAUGACUGGAUAGAAACAGUUUAAUCAAGCUAUGGAGUUUCAGUCGGAGAAGUCUAUCAACCUUUGAACCAAAAUGGAACUAGAAGAUUAAUACAGAGUUUUGCACCUGGAGACCAUUACUACAAUAACUGGCUACAUCUCUUACUAAUUUUAAUGAACAACUCGUAAAUUAACAAAUAUACCUAAAUAAAUAAUGAAAAUAUAAAAGCAGUCAUAUGGUUCAACCCAUUACUCUGCAAACAAACAAGAGCACUUUGCAAACAAGAGGGAGUCAAUAUUUUGGGUAUUGUUUUAAUGGAAACAGGUGUAUGAAACAAAAUAUAUAACAUUACCUAAGAAAAGAAAUGCAGAAACUGUAUCUUUCUACAAUUAUAAAUAAAAGUUAUAUAUGAAACGUU